UCUUCUGGCUGUGCCAGGUGGAGAUUAUAAACCUAGAGAGGAACCAGGCUAUGAGGGGUGGCCAGUCCUCUUCUGGCUGUGCCGGGUGGAGAUUAUAAACCUAGAGAGGAACCAGGCUAUGAGGGGUGGCCAGUCCUCUUCUGGCUGUGCCGGGUGGAGAUUAUAAACCUAGAGAGGAACCAGGCUAUGUGGGGUGGCCAGUCCUCUUCUGGCUGUGCCAGGUGGAGAUUAUAAACCUAGAGAGGAACCAGGCUAUGUGGGGUGGCCAGUCCUCUUCUGGCUGUGCCAGGUGGAGAUUAUAAACCUAGAGAGGAACCAGGCUAUGAGGGGUGGCCAGUCCUCUUCUGGCUGUGCCGGGUGGAGAUUAUAACAGAACAUGGCCAAGAUGUUCAAAUGUUCAUAAAUGACCAGCAGGGUCAAAUAAUAAUAAUCACAGUAGUUGUAGAGGGAGCAACAGGUCAGCACCUCAGGAGUAAAUGUCAGUUGGCUUUUCAUAGCCGAUCAUUAAGAGUAUCUCUACCUCUCCUGCUGUUUCUAGAUUUGAAAACAGCAGGUCUGGAACAGGUAGCACGUCCGGUGAACAGGUCAGGGUUCCAUAGCCGCAGGCAGAACAGUUGAUACUGGAGCAGCAGCACGGCCAGGUGGACUGGGGACAGCAAGGAUUCAUCAUGCCAGGUAGUCCUGGGGCAUGGUCCUAGGGCUCAGGUCCUCAGAGAGAGAGAAGAGAAGGAGAGAAUUAGAGAACGCACACUUAAAUUCACACUGGACACCGGAUAAGACAGGAGAAAUACUCCAGAUAUAACAAACUGACCCUAGCCCCCCGACACAUAAACUACUGCAGCAUAAACACUGGAGGCUGAGACAGGAGGGGUCAGGAGACACUGUGGCCCCAUCUGACGAUAAACACUUUGACCGUUUGCUUUAGUCUGGAGUGCUUUAGGCCUGCCUGGAGUGCUUUUGGAGUGCUUUAGGCCUGCCUGGAGUGCUUUAGGCCUGCCUGGAGUGCUGUAGGCCUGCCUGGAGUGCUUUAGGCCUGCCUGGAGUGCUUUAGGCCUGCCUGGAGUGCUUUAGGCCUGCCUGGAGUGCUUUAGGCCUGCCUGGAGUGCUUUAGGUCUGGAGUGCUUUAGGUCUGGAGUGCUUUAGGCCUGGAGUGCUUUAGGCCUUUUAGGCCUGGAGUGCUUUAGGCCUUUUAGGCCUGUCUGGAGUGCUUUAGGCCUGUCUGGAUGAUGGGACUAUUAUUCUGGUUAAACAGACCAGAUCAGCCCAGUUAAAGUAUUGAAAUGAUUUCAAAUAGUAUUUGAACCCAGGUCUGACACACACACACACACACACACACACACACACACACACAGCCUAUACAGAGUGUACACACACACACACACACACAGAGUGAAUCAAUGAACAUGUCGCACAAUAACAUUGAAAUGAAAUAGAAACUUAGUGAUGAUGCUCAUGGCGUUUCUCCUCAUUCGUCUGAGAGAGAAACUUAGUGAUGAUGCUAAUGGCGUUUUUAAAUAUUCUUUUAUUUUUAACAAGUUGUUACUACAACGCGAUGUAAGGUAAAAAACAUGAACACAUUUCUAUUGGAAUAAACAUGGUUGUUUUACAUGUUCAGCUACCGUCUUAAGAUAUAUGAAUAUAAACUCGGCAACAACAAAACAGAAACGUCCUCUCACUGUCAACUGCAUUUAUUUUCAGCAAAACUUAACAGGUGUAAAUAUUUGUAUGAACAUAACAAGAUUCAACAACUGAGACAUAAACUGAACCAGUUCCACAGACAUGUGACUAACAGACAUGUGACUAACAGACAAACAGACAUGUGACUAACAGACAUGUGACUAACAGACAAACAGACAUGUGACUAACAGACAUGUGACUAACAGACAAACAGACAUGUGACUAACAGACAUGUGACUAACAGAAAUGGAAUAAUGUGUCCCUGAACAAAGGGGGGGGGGUCAAAAUCAAAAGUAACAGUCAGUAUCUGGUGUGGCCAGCAGCUGCAUUAAGUACUGCAGUGCAUCUCCUCCUCGUGGACUGCACCAGAUUUGCCAGUUCUUACUGUGAGAUGUUACCCCACUCUUCCACCAAGGCACCUGCAAGUUCCCGGAUAUUUCUGGAUGGAAUGACCCUAGCCCUCACCCUCUGAUCCAACAGGUCCCAGACGUGCUCAAUGGGAUUGAGAUCCGGGCUCUUCGCUGGCCAUGGCAGAGCACUGACAUUCCUCUCUUGCAGGAAAUCACGCACAGAACGAGCAGUAUGGCUGGUGGCAUUGUCAUGUCAGGAUGAGCCUGCAGGAAGGGUACCACAUGAGGGAGGAGGAUGUCUUCCCUGUAACGCACAGCGUUGAGAUUGCCUGCAAUGACAACAAGCUCAGUCUGAUGAUGCUGUGACACACCGCCCCAGACCAGGACGGACCCUCCACCUUCAAAUCGAUCUCGCUCCAGAGUACAGGCCUCGGUGUAACGCUCAUUCCUUCAACAAUAAAUGCGAAUCCUACCAUCACCCCUGGUGAGACAAAAACCGUGACUCGUCAGUAAAGAGCACUUUUUUCUAGUCCUGUCUGGUCCAGCGACGGUGGGUUUGUGCCCAUAGGCGACGUUGUUGCUGGUGAUGUCUGGUGAGGACCUGCAUUAAAGCAGGCCUAGAAGCCCUCAGUCCAGCCCCUCUCAGCCUAUUGUGGACAGUCUGAGCACUGAUGGAGGAAUUGUGUGUUCCUGAUAGAAACAACUCGGGCAGUUGUUUCUAUCCAUGCGUGAUGUUCGGAUUUACCGAUCCUGUGCAGGUGUUGUUACACGUGGUCUGCCACUGCGAGGACGAUCAGCUGUCCGUCCUGUCUCCCUGUAGCGAUGUCUUAGGCAUCUCACAGUGAGGACAUUGCAAUGUAUUGCCCUGGCCACAUCUGCAGUCCUCACGCCUCCUUGCAGCAUGCCUAAGGCACGUUCACGCAGGUGAGCAGGGAGCAUGGGAAUCUUUCUUUUGGUGUUUGUCCAGAGACAUUCGGAAGUCCUCUUUUUAGUGUCCUAAGUUUUCAGAACUGUGACCUUAAUUGCCUACCGUCUGUAAGCUGUUAGUGUCUUAACGACCGUUCCACAGGUGCAUGUUCAUUAAUUGUUUAUGGUUCAUUGAACAAGCAGGGAAACAUUGUUAAAACCCUUUACAAUGAAGAUCUGUGAAGUUAUUUGGAUUUUUACGAAUUAUCUUUGUAAGUGAGAAUCCUGAAAAUGGGUUUCUUUUUUUGCUGAGUUUACAUACUGAUCAGCACUUUGAAGCCUUCUUCAUUGAUGGUAUUUUUAUAUAUUUUUUUUAUAGAAGUUCUAAAAGUCAAAAGAACUACUUAGAUUAAUAUAUUAUUCAUUAUUUAUUAUUAUUAUUAAUAUUAUUAUAUUAUAUUGUAUUCAAAACAAAGACAUCUGUCCUUCAUAAAUGUCUACCUUGUCCUGGACAUAUUGACCCAGUAGUGUAGAAGGAAGUGUUGCCUUAGAAACGGAUAACACAGAGACACACCCCCAAGGCCUACCUUCAAACUCGGUGCCUCUUUGCUUGACAUCAUGGGAAAAUCAAAAGAAAUCAGCCCCCAAAAAAUAAUAGACCUCCACAAGUCUGGUUCAUCCUUGGGAAAAAUUUCCAAACGCCUGAAGGUACCACGUUCAUCUGUACAAACAAUAGUAUGCAAGUAUAAACACCAGGGGACCACGCAGCCAUCAUACUGCUCAGGGAGGAGACGCAUUCUGUCUCCUAGAGAUGAACGUACUUUGGUGCGAAAAGUGUAAAUCAAUCCCAGAAUAACAGCAAAGGACCUUGUGAAGAUGCUGGAGGAAACGGGUACAAAUGUAUCUAUAUCCACAGUAAAACGAAUACUAUUUCGACAACCUAAUAUAGUCCUACAUAACCUGAAAGGCCGCUCAGCACCAAACCGCCAUAAAAAAAAGCCUGACUACAAUUGCACAUGGGGACAAAGAUCGUUCUUUCCUCUGGUCUGAUGAAAACAAAAAUAGAACUAUAAUGAUGGCCAUAAUGACCAUCGUUAUGUUAGGAGGAAAAAGGGGGAGGCUUGCAAGCCAAAGAACAUCAUCCCAACCGUGAAGCAUGGGGGUGGCAGCAUCAUGUUGUGGGGGUGCUUUGCUCCAGGAGGGACUGGUGCACUUCACAAAAUAAAUGGCAUCAUGAGGAUGGAUAUUUCUGAGGAUAUAUUGAAGCAACAUCUCAAGACAUCAGUCAGGUCGCAAAUAGGUCUUCCAAAUGGAGAAUGGCUCCAAGCAUACUUGCAAGCAAAGUUGUGGCAAAAUGGCUUUAGGACAACAAAGUCAAGGUAUUGGAGUGUCCAUCACAAAUCCCUGACCUCAAUAUUAAAGAACAUUUGUGGGCAGAACUGAAAAGGCGUGUGCGAGCAAGGAGGCCUACAAACCUGACUCCGUUACCCAGCUGUCAGGAGGAAUGGGACAAAAUUCACCCAACUUAUUGUGGGGAGCUUGUGGAAGGCUACCCGAAACGUUUGACCAAAGUUAAACAAUUUAAAGGCAAUGCUACCAAAUACUAAUUGAGUGUAUGUAAACUUCUGACCCACUGGGAAUGUGAUGAAAGAAAUAAAAGCUGAAAUAAA